CGGUAGUAUCACCUACCAACAUUAUUCCAUGCUUUGUCAUGAAUUCUUGGCUUCAUCUAUCUAAGCUGCUGAGGGCAGGAUACAUACCGAUGUUACCUGAAGCACAUGAGUUCCCGCCAAGUUUAACACAAUUGACCUUGGAACGUGCUAAACUAAACUAUGGCCACAUGAUGAUUUUGGAGAAGCUGCCAAAAUUGUUGAUUUUCAGAUUAAGAUUCGGGGCCAAAUACCUUGAAGAGGAAAUGCAAGUAUCUGCAAAUGGCUUUCCUCAACUCAAAAUCCUUCAACUUUCUGGCUUACGAGAAUCACCAAGGUUGUUGAUUAUAAAUAAGGGUGGCAUGCCAAAACUUACUCACUUGCAGAUUUUUGGAUGUGACUUCAACAUCAAUGGACUUGGUGAGCUCUUACAUCUGAGGAAGGUAGAUGUCAAUGCAUGUCAUCGUUGGAUUUCUUCCUUGCCAUAUGCUUCUGAAUGGCAUAAAAUUAGAAGCGAGACAGAAGAAGGCGAAAUUAUAUGGCAUUUUUACCGCUGAUGAUUGCUGGGGUUGUAAGCAGUAGCACAAGAAGAUUGGUGAAUCCAUACCUGAUCAAGACCUAGUCGGGCACACAGGAUCGAAUAAGGGUGCAAUUCACUUUCAUCACAGAUGAUUGCUGAGGCCUAUGCAGCAGUACGAGAAAAUUGUUUAUGCAUAGUGUGUUUGGUUCCAUGGAAAUUUGUAUAAUUCUUUUGUAUAUUACUGUAAAUUAUGUGAGUUGAUAAGUGAUUAAGACCUAGCAAAGCGUGUGCUUUUCUGUUCCUAUUAUUGUAAUAAUUUGCUACCAAGAUUGUAUGCAUUUAUCUAUUCUUAUGAAUAGCAACGAGUGCGGGUUUUCUA